GGGAGGGGUGCAAGCGUUAAUCGGAAUUACUGGGCGUAAAGCGCACGCAGGCGGUCUGUCAAGUCGGGAUGUGAAAUCCCCGGGCUCAACCUGGGAACUGCAUCCCGAAACUGGCAGGCUAGAGUCUUGUAGAGGGGGGUAGAAUUCCAGGUGUAGCGGUGAAAUGCGUAGAGAUCUGGAGGAAUACCGGUGGCGAAGGCGGCCCCCUGGACAAAGACUGACGCUCAGGUGCGAAAGCGUGGGGAGCAAACAGGAUUAGAUACCCUGGUAGUCCACGCCGUAAACGAUGUCGACUUGGAGGUUGUGCCCUUGAGGCGUGGCUUCCGGAGCUAACGCGUUAAGUCGACCGCCUGGGGAGUACGGCCGCAAGGUUA
rnacentral:rRNA from 1 species